rnacentral:lncRNA from 1 species
CUUGGCUAAAGCAGAGAUACACUCAGAAAGCCACAUUUGUUUUCUUUAAGCCACUGCUAGAUUAUGGUGAAUAACAAGUCACCAGAAGAACUUGUUGCCAGUCAUCACUCAAAAUGCUGCUGGGGAGGAAGCUGAGAUGACCAGAUUGAAGAAUAAAAAGGAUACCGGAUCCUUGAACCAGGAGGGAGAUCUUGCCCUGGCCUCACUUAGAAUGAACAUUUACAAUGGGAUUUUCCAAGAAGUACAAAGCAGGAGGCAAAUGGGUGUAUCUUCUCAGUCUCUUUAGAAACUUGCACGAUCUAUUGUGGCAAAGAGAUCAUGUGGAGUCAGCCAGGACCCGUAAACCUGUUUCACCUGGUGGAGGAAAUGAACAAACACAAAUGUAUCCUCUGAAUAGGUUUUCCAGGAGGAGGAGGAGGCAGAAUUUAUAGGCCUGGUUCUGUCUGGCUUGCUGCUUAAAGACACUGAAUUCUGGGCUGAUGGCACCCAGGGCCAUGUUUAACAUUCCUCC